UCCCAGGUGUGGACGCCGCUGAGCUUAGAACUGCUAUGAACAGCAUAGAACGAUUAGCGGAUGCUUAUUUGGAUGCUAGAGAUGCAAAAGUUGACUUGCAGGAAAUUGUAAAUCUUCUGUCAGAACUCUCAACACAGUUCAAUUACGCCAUUGCUCUGUCCACCUUUCUAGAAGAUCCUCUAGUGCAAGAAGGGCGU
rnacentral:sRNA from 1 species